UACGUAGGUGGCAAGCGUUGUCCGGAAUUAUUGGGCGUAAAGCGCGCGCAGGCGGUCCUUUAAGUCUGAUGUGAAAGCCCACGGCUCAACCGUGGAGGGUCAUUGGAAACUGGGGGACUUGAGUGCAGGAGAGAAGAGUGGAAUUCCCAGUGUAGAGGUGAAAUUCGUAGAUAUUGGGAAGAACACCGGUGGCGAAGGCGGCUCACUGGACCGAUACUGACGUUGAGGCGCGAAAGCGUGGGGAGCAAACAGG
rnacentral:rRNA from 1 species